rnacentral:lncRNA from 1 species
AGAAAAGAAGAAGAAAAAUCUGAAACGCGCCCUUUUUUUUUAAAUGCCACAUCAGCAUUAGGGAGGAAAAUAAUUCACUUUAAAGAUGUUAAGGGGGGGUAAAUAAAUGAAAGUUAAGUGCUAAAGUGAGUUUGGAAGACAAGUUCAGAGGGAAAAAGAUGUCUUUUCUCUAAAAAAUAAUAUGUAGUAGUUUUUACAAUAUACAGAUAUAGUGAUUGAACAAGUAAUGAAUAAAAGAAUUAAUAAGACAUCAAAACUAACUUGUGUAGAUAAUUUAAAGAAUUUAUGAGCAAAUAAUCACAAUUUGUAGUUUGAAACAGGUAAAGAAUCAAAGAAUUUAAUCAUAUGCAGGAAAUGUAAAUAUACCUCCCUCAAUUGAAAAAUUCAGUCUAUCAUGGUUAAAACCUAUUGUUAAUCCCCAGCGGAGUCGCCAUGCUGUCAUGCCCUAUUUUUGUCAAGGUUAAAUAAGCAUGACUCGUGGACUCUAAAUGAAUUGACAAUUUGUACAGUCGCCACCUAAUUUUUAAAGGAAAAUAAGGAAACCUAUUUAUUUAUUAACACGUAUGACUUAUUUCUUAGUCUAUGAAAAUCAAUUUAGAUUCUAGGUAAGGAUUCAAAUUAUUUCGAAGGAAAGGGGUUAGACACUCUUAAAAAUCCAUAAAUGUGGUAUCGAAAAUAAGGAAACCUAUUUAUUUAUUAACACGUAUGGCUUAUUUCUUAGUCUAUGAAAAUCAAUUUAGAUUCUAGGUAAGGAUUCAAAUUAUUUCGAAGGAAAGGGGUUAGACACUCUUAAAAAUCCAUAAAUGUGGUAUUCGACUAGACUAAAUUUAUCAAAGAGGAAGGAGGUAAAAAUAAUUCUUUUGAAAAAAUAUAAAUAUGUAUGUAUAUUAAGCAUAUGAAUAAAACUUAUUGUUCUGAAAAAAGUUAUAGAUAAAAAUGUACAAAUUAUAUGUGAAAAGAAAAAGUAUUUUGUGACGUAUGAAAAGAAAAGUAUCUUUUAUGUACUAAAAAGAGAAAAAUAUAUUUUUGUAAAUAAUACUACAUACUUGAUUGAGAUUACAGAGA